GCGCGCGGCCGGGCUGCUGUCCUCCCCCUGCACCCGCCGGCUCCCGGGAGCCUGGCGAGGGAGAGCGCGGGCGGGGGGAGCUGGAGCCGGGCGCCGCUGCUGCCGCCGCCGCCGCCGAGGCUUUCGUCUCGCUCGCUAGCGCAGCGGCGGCAGCAGAGGUCGCGCACAGAUGCGGGUUAGACUGACGGGAGGAGGAGGCGGAGGAGGGAAGGAAGCUGCAUGCAUGAAACCCACAGACUCUUGCAAGCCGGAUGCCCUCUGUGGAUGAAAGAUGUAUCAUGGAAUGAACCCGAGCAAUGGAGAUGGAUUUUUAGAGCAGCAGCAGCAGCCUCAGUCCCCCCAGAGACUCUUGGCCGUGAUCCUGUGGUUUCAGCUGGCGCUUUGCUUCGGCCCUGCACAGCUCACGGGCGGGUUCGAUGACCUUCACGUGUGUGCUGACCCAGGCGUCCCUGAGAAUGGCUUCCGGACCCCCAGCGGAGGGGUUUUCUUUGAAAGCUCAGUAACCCGAUUUCACUGUCAAGAUGGAUUCAAGCUGCAGGGCUCUACGAAAAGACUUUGCAUGAAACAUCUUAAUGGAACCCUAGGGUGGAUCCCAAGUGAUAAACCCAUCUGCGUGCAAGAAGAUUGCCGUAUCCCUCAAAUUGAAGAUGCUGAGAUUCAUAACAAGACAUACAGACAUGGAGAUAAGUUAAUCAUCACCUGCCAUGAAGGAUUCCAGAUCCGCUACCCAGACCUGUACAACAUGGUUUCAUUAUGUCGUGAUGAUGGAACGUGGGACAAUCUGCCCAUCUGUCAAGGCUGCCUGAGACCAUUAGCCUCUUCUAAUGGCUAUGUGAACAUCUCUGAGUUCCAGACCUCCUUCCCAGUGGGAACUGUGAUCUCCUACCACUGCUUCCCUGGAUUUAAACUAGACGGGUCAGAGUAUCUGGAGUGCUUACACAGCCUCAUCUGGUCGUCCAGCCCACCCCGGUGCCUUGCCCUGGAAGCCCAAGUCUGUCCACUGCCUCCAAUGGUGAGUCAUGGAGAUUUCAUCUGCCAUCCGCGGCCUUGUGAGCGCUACAGCCACGGGACCGUGGUCGAGUUCUACUGUGACCCCGGCUACAGCCUCACCAGUGACUACAAGUAUAUCACCUGCCAGUACGGGGAGUGGUUCCCUUCCUACCAAGUCUACUGCAUCAAGUCGGAGCAAACGUGGCCCAGCACCCACGAGACCCUCCUGACCACGUGGAAGAUCGUGGCAUUCACGGCGACCAGUGUGCUGCUGGUGCUGCUGCUCGUCAUCCUGGCCAGGAUGUUCCAGACCAAGUUCAAGGCUCACUUCCCUCCCAGGGGACCUCCCAGGAGCUCCAGCAGUGACCCCGACUUCGUGGUGGUGGACGGCGUGCCCGUCAUGCUUCCGUCCUACGACGAGGCUGUGAGCGGUGGGCUGAGUGCCUUAGGCCCUGGGUACCUGGCCUCCAUGGGCCAGGGCUGCCCCUUACCUGUGGACGACCAGAGCCCCCCAGCAUACCCCGGCUCAGGGGACACGGACACGGGCCCCGGGGAGUCAGAAACCUGUGACAGCAUCUCAGGCUCUUCCGAACUACUCCAGAGUCUUUAUUCACCUCCUGUCUGCCAAGGGGGGCCCCACCCCACUUCUGACAAUGCUGACUCAAUCACUAGCACAGCGGGGGAGGUGGCAUCCACCAGCCCAGGCAUCGACAUCGCAGAUGAGAUCCCUCUAAUGGAAGAAGAUUCUUAACCGGCCCAAGUGCCCAUUAGUCUGUUGCCCCUUUGGGGAGGCCAUAGAAGGACAGGAUUUAGAGGGACGGGGGAGUUUUAAAUUUAUCUACCUGGGGACAGUGAUGCACAGUGUACAUCUCAGAUUCAGCAGUGAGGCUGACAAACUGCAGUGGCAAUGCUUUUAAAGGAGACUCAAGGAUCUUCCAAGACCAAUGAGGAAGAAGGGGAAGUGGGGAUCUGGAUUAAGGUGUUAAAUGUGUCUCCAUGCUGCAGAAUAUGGGACAGUUCCACACCCCUCCCUCUGAGCUACACUUCCCAUUGAACUAUGUUAUCAGCUUUACCUGCCUCCUCCAAAAGCAUGUCACAUUAUGUAAAUUUGCUUCUAAAAUCUGCUUUAAACUGUCCCUGGACUCCAAGUGAGGACAGAUCAACCCCUGCGAAGGUCUGUGCCAAGCUGCUGGAGGAGUAGCAAAGCCCCCUUGUCCCCUCAGGAAGGAGCAGGCCCCAAAGGGAAGGUUCCAUGUAACUUUUUGGACAAUCUUCCUUGAUCUGGACAACUCUACUCAAAAGCAAGACUUUAUCGGGGUGUGGAAGUUCCAGCAGAAAAGGAAAGACUCAGGAAGGCUCUCCUUCCUGGAAAUUUCUUCAAAAAGUAGAGUUCAUGUACUCUGUGCCUCCCUUGGCGAAGAAUCUUCAGUAUUUGUAUUCACGGCCUGUUACACUGAGCCAUGGCAUUGGAUAAAUCCCAUUACUUUACAGAUGGUCAGAAUGUGUUAACAUUCUUCUCAUGGUGGAGAAAGUAACCAAGUCUGCAGCCACCUCAGAGCCUCGCCUGCAAGUAUUGAUGAAGAAUUUGUGUUUCAUUAGAGUGAGCUUAUUUGGUGGUCAAGAAUCGUCAUCUUUUCAUGAUACUGACUUUUUCUUCUUUUAAAAACUUUGGGAGUCCUUCCAG